rnacentral:rRNA from 1 species
GGGUUGUGAGGUUAAGCGACUAAGCGUACACGGUGGAUGCCCUGGCAGUCAGAGGCGAUGAAGGGCGUGCUAAUCUGCGAUAAGCGCCGGUAAGGUGAUAUGAACCGUUAUAACCGGCGAUACCCGAAUGGGGAAACCCAGUGUGAUUCGUCACACUAUCAUUAACUGAAUCCAUAGGUUAAUGAGGCGAACCGGGGGAACUGAAACAUCUAAGUACCCCGAGGAAAAGAAAUCAACCGAGAUUCCCCCAGUAGCGGCGAGCGAACGGGGAGGAGCCCAGAGCCUGAAUCAGCAUGUGUGUUAGUGGAAGCGUCUGGAAAGGCGCGCGAUACAGGGUGACAGCCCCGUACACAAAAGCGCAUGUGCUGUGAGCUCGAUGAGUAGGGCGGGACACGUGGUAUCCUGUCUGAAUAUGGGGGGACCAUCCUCCAAGGCUAAAUACUCCUGACUGACCGAUAGUGAACCAGUACCGUGAGGGAAAGGCGAAAAGAACCCCGGCGAGGGGAGUGAAACAGAACCUGAAACCGUGUACGUACAAGCAGUGGGAGCCCCACCACUAAGCCAGUGGUGAACUCCACAUACGCAUCCUUUGCUGAUGGCAAUGGUUAACGGAGCGAAAGCGACGUUCAACCGCAAAACAAGCAGAGGGGGCUUAGUGGUGGGGUGACUGCGUACCUUUUGUAUAAUGGGUCAGCGACUUAUAUUCUGUAGCAAGGUUAACCGAAUAGGGGAGCCGGAGGGAAACCGAGUCUUAAUUGGGCGUUAAGUUGCAGGGUAUAGACCCGAAACCCGGUGAUCUAGCCAUGGGCAGGUUGAAGGUUGGGUAACACUAACUGGAGGACCGAACCGACUAAUGUUGAAAAAUUAGCGGAUGACCUGUGGCUGGGGGUGAAAGGCCA